rnacentral:rRNA from 1 species
UACGGGGGGAGCAAGCGUUGUUCGGAUUUACUGGGCGUAAAGGGCGCGUAGGCGGUCAGCACAAGUCAGUUGUGAAAUCUCCGAGCUUAACUCGGAAAGGUCAACUGAUACUGUGCGACUAGAGUGCAGAAGGGGCAACUGGAAUUCUCGGUGUAGCGGUGAAAUGCGUAGAUAUCGAGAGGAACACCUGCGGCGAAGGCGGGUAGCUGGGCCGACACUGACGCUGAGGCGCGAAAGCGUGGGGAGCAAACAGG